UCUGGCCCUAUGGAAGACUAGUGAUUUUGUUGUUGUGAAAUGUCAAAGAACUAACAAAAAAUCACUGUCGGCCACUGGGGACAGGGGUGCA
rnacentral:pre_miRNA from 1 species